GAGAGAGUUGCCAUGUGAUCCCAGGAAGAGAGGACACAUAAGGCUGUCGCCCUCGUUUCCUUUCAGAGGAAGACAAAUAGGCAUCUGCAGCAAACGAAGUGCAAUACCCUCCACCUUUGCCUGAAUUAGCCCGGGAACAUGUGUGAGAUUUGCAGGGCAACAAAUCAUGCACAGAAUAUCUGGACAUGUUUCCUAUCACUUCAAAAAACAAGUCCUGGAAACAUGGCGAUUCAAGCAAGUCCUGGGUCCCGCUUGUAGGUCUGCAAGUCACAAGUCCUGCUUGGGUCCAGCUGUAUUCUCUGUUUCUUAGAUUUUCAUCAGGCUGACCUCCAGGUGUCAGUCAGCUAGGGACUCCUCCCAGAGGCCACCCACAGUUUCUCCCCACAAAAUCUUCUCAAGGCCAACAGGAAAGUCUCUGCAGCUUGGUUGAAUCUCCCUUACCUCUCCAUGGUUCACUCUGGACCUCCUUUUAUGUGGUCCACCUAGUUAGAUCAGACUCAUGGAAGAUACGCAGCCUUUAACGUCCAGCUGGUUAACAGUCGCAGGCACUGAUUACUCUCGAGUAAACAAAGUAGGGUUUAAUUUAUUACCUACAACAGGCACCGUGACUGCAGGUAAUGGUGUGAAGGAGUUCUACGGGGCAGUUCAGCAGGGUGACAGAGAGGAGGUCUUGUGAAAGGGACAUCUGGGCUGAGACCAGAAAGAGGAGAAGGAAGAACAGUCUAGGUGGCAGCUAGUGUCCGAAACAAAUUCAAGAAUAGGUUGUCUUCCUAGGGAGAAUUUUUAAAAAAAUUUGUUUGUUCUAGCAUCUCUGGAUACCUGGUGUAUUCCAUGACUUCCAGAUGCAGAAGGUAGUAUCCUUGGCCGUCGACAAGGGCCCUCCAUGCCCCUCCCUUCCCUCAACUACAACUGGUAGGAUUGAUGGCACACGAAGUGUACUCUUGGAUCACUGCUAUGUUUGAGCAAUGCAUCACAACCAUUACCCAGCUGCAUGCACUAAAAUGCCUUUCCAUACAUGGGUGCGUGUUACCCUGGAAAACUGAAGGCUUUUAUUUCAAAUUGGUUUACUUUGAAGUUUUCUUUGGUGCACAUCCUACUAUGCCAUAAGAGAAGUCUAUUCCAGGUUGGGAUACUGCUCACAUUUGCAAGCAUUUCAGCACACUAAGCUGCAUUGACAGAAACUCAUGAACAUGCAAGUAGUGAAUUUUGUGUUUGUUUCCUUCCUGCCUAUCAAUGUCUUCCUUCUACUUGAUUAAUAAAUCGUUCAGCAAUACCUGAAAACCUA